GUCUGGAUCAGCUCUGCAGGUUUGGUCAAAUACAUUCGAUCAGUCAGUGUUACGCAGCUCUGGGACACAAACUCAAUCUGCAGAUGAAGCUGUACCCUUCAUAUACUGAACUUUAUUUGUAUAAGACGUUAAAUGAUGGCAGUAGACUGGAUGUUUUUAGCAUAACAGACAAUAAAGAACAUAAACAAGAAUCCAUCAGAAACAGAUCUGAGUUCUUCUUUGAUAAUAUGACUCUGAUCAUAAACAAUGUGAUCAGAGCAGAUUCAGGAAGAUACACAUUAGAUGUCAUUGAGAUAGAUAUGAUAAUGAGCAGUGAUCUUCUAGUGAAUGUUGAAGGUACACAAACUCUCUCAUCAGAUUCAUUCUGUCUUGACAUUGACUCUGGAUAUGUGUUGACUGUCAUGUGUCCCUCCCUCCAGCUCCUAUUGGCUCAGUGGAAGUGUCAAUCAUCUGCUCCGCCAAUCAGACUUCAGUGUUCUGCUCCUCUAAAGGUGAUAAGAUCAUCUACAGCUGGACUCUGAAUGAAAAAGUACUAGAAGAAGGAACAAUGUUUGGAAACAGCAGGAUUGAUCUGGAUGAGGGAACUGAUGGAGAGCUGCAGUGUGAAGAACAACGUCAGUCACGCACAGAAGACCAUUAGACUCAAACCCUGUCCUGGUCUGGAUCGGUUCUGCUGGUUUAAUCAGUCUGAUCCCUGUUACACAGCUCUGGGACACAAACUCAAUCUGAUGAUGGUGCUGGAUGCUAGUAAAUAUGACCUGAAGAUAAUAAAGAGAAUAAACAAUGCAGCAGAUGAUCCAGUUUGUAGAGUAAAGUAUGGCAAGAUGAAGAAAUGUGAUCUUUAUAAUAACAGAACUGAAGUGACGGUCAUUAAUGGGACUGUGAUAAUAAACCGUGUGAUCAGAGCAGAUUCAGGGAAUUACACAUUAAGACUCGAUCGCUCAGAUGGCUCAGUAACAUCUAGAGAUCUUCAAGUGAUUGUUGAAGCUCCUAUUGGCUCAGUGGAAGUGUCAAUCAUCUGCUUCUCCAGUGGGGGGAUGAGGGUGUUCUGCUCCUCUGAGGGGGAUCAGCUCCUCUACAGCUGGACUCUGAAUGGAGAUCCACUGAUGGAUGGAAACAGCAGCAUUGAUCUGGAUGAGAGAACUGAUGGAGACAUCAGCUGCAGCGUGAAGAACCACGUCAGUCACGCACAGAAGACCAUUAGACUCAAACCCUGUCCUGGUCUGAAUUGGUUCUGCUGGUUUAAUCAGCCUGAUCCCUGUUACGCAGCUCUGGGACACGAACUCAAUCUGCUGAUGGUGCAGGAUGCUAGUGAAUAUGAUCUGAAGAUACAAAAGAGAAUAAACAACACAGCAGAUGAUUCAGAUUGUAGAGUAAAGAAUGGCAGAAUGAGGAUGAGUCAGUGUGAUCUUUAUUAUAACAGACCUGAAGUGACAGUCAUUAAUGGGACUCUGAUAAUAAACCGUGUGACCAGAGCAGAUUCAGGGAAUUUCAGAUUAACUCUCGUUCACUCAGAUGGCUCAGGAACAUCUAGAGAUCUUCAGGUGAUUGUUGAAGCUCCUAUUGGCUCAGUGGAAGUGUCAAUCAUCUGCUCCUCCAGUGGGGGGAUGAGGGUGUUCUGCUCCUCUGAGGGGGAUCAGCUCCUCUACAGCUGGACUCUGAAUGGAGAUCCACUGAUGGAUGGAAACAGCAGCAUUGAUCUGGAUGAGGGAACUGAUGGAGACAUCAGCUGCAGCGUGAAGAACCACGUCAGUCACGCACAGAAGACCAUUAGACUCAAACCCUGUCCUGGUCUGGAUCGGUUCUGCAGGUUUGAUCAGUCUGAUCCCUGUUACGCAGCUCUGGAACACAAACUCAAUCUGAUGAUGGUGCAGGAUGCUAGUAAAUAUGACUUGAAGAUACAAAAGAGAAUAAUCAACACAGCAGAUGGUCCAGUUUGUAGAGUAAAGAAUGGCAGGAUGAGGAUGAGUGAAUGUGAUCUUUAUAAUAACAGACCUGAAGCGACAGUCAUUAAUGGGACUGUGAUAAUAAACCGUGUGAUCAGAGCAGAUUCAGGGAAUUACAGAUUAACUCUCGACAGCUCAUACGGCUCAGAAACAUCUGAAGAUCUUCAAGUGAUUGUUGAAGCUCCUAUUGGCUCUGUGGAAGUGUCAAUCAUCUGCUCCUCCAGUGGGGUGAUGAGGGUGUUCUGCUCCUCUGAGGGGGAUCAGCUCCUCUACAGCUGGACUCUGAAUGGAGGUCCACUGAUGGAUGGAAACAGCAGCAUUGAUCUGGAUGAGAGAACUGAUGGAGACAUCAGUUGCAGCGUGAACAACAACGUCAGCCACUCACAGAAGACCAUUAGACUCAAACCCUGUCCUGCUGAUGGUUCUGUUGGGUCUGUUAGGAGCUUUUCACAUCUACAUGAGACACACAUCAGCAAAGAAACAGGAAGAUCAGAAAGUGAGGAUGAGAAGAUUGAGAGAAGGACAUGAAGACACAGCAGAAGAUUCAUGAGAGCAGCAGCAGAUCAUCACAUCUAUUUACACUAUAAUCUCACUGACUCUCACAUCAAUCCAGCUUUCAGAUGUCAAAUAAAACCAGGAGACAGAAGAAGCUUUCA
ensembl:lncRNA